CAGGUGCAGAGCUCGCACCUUCAGGGCACUCAGGUGCGCUGCCUUUGUUUGGAGGAUAAACAGUAGAGGUGUGGGUCCUGCUUCCCUGGGCCUACACAGCAGAGCAGCCUCCAAUGCUCUGCUGACCCCUGGGACUCAGGCUCUCUGUGCGCUGGGAUACGGUUAUUUUCCUGGUGCUUGUUCUCUGCAGGGCCGGCCCUGACCCCCAUCUCUCGCAAGAAUUGUAUGGAUGCCCAUUUCCAGAUACUUGUUCAGCAACCCUCAAACCAGAUGCACGUCUGUCUUUGGGUCAGUAAUCUGUACCCUGAAUCGGCAAUCAGAGCGUCACGACAGAACUGUGUAUCAACACCACUAGUCUAUUUUUCCUGUUCAUCAAAGUUCCUCAUUAACGAUCAGAAAACAUGGACCAUGUAAAGUGGCCCAUGCUAUCUCUACUGACGAAGGAAACCCUUGCACAAACCAGGAAGCGUGGAGAAGACAGGAGACAGAGGGAUCCACCAGGAAGGGCGGAAAUGCAGCUUCAACACCCUCCCCUCAGGUCAAUUUGAAAUUCUGGAUUCGGCAUCUACUGACCCAAGGGAGUGCACGUGGCAUCCUGUGUGCAGCACCUUCGGACCCAGCUGUGGUAGAACCUGGCACAGCCAGUGGGCCCUGUCACGGUGGCCUGGAGGAGCCCCAGAGGACAGCGACAGGAACCAGGACCCUGGCAGGGUUUAUUUUCCAGUUUCUGGGUAAAGAGGAAAGAACUGAGACUAGGAAUAGAACCUGGAAACCAGCUGCACAUGCAGGAAGUGCCUUUCACCUCCUGCCAUGAUUCUGAGGACUCCCCAGUCAUGUGGAACUGUAA
rnacentral:lncRNA from 1 species